UCUUGUUGGGGAGGUAAAGGCUCACCAAGGGGCACGACCGGAUACCCGGCCUUAGAGGGAGACCGCCCACAAUGGGAUUGACACACGGCCCCAGAUUCCUACGGGAGGCAGCAGUGGGGAAUAUUGCACAAUGGGCGAAAGCCUGAUGCAGCGACCCCGCGUGAGGGAUGACGGCCUUCGGUUUGUAAACCUCUUUCAGUAGGGAACAAGGCCAGCAUUUUUGUUGGUUGAGGGUACUUGCAAAAGAAGCCCCGGCUAAUUACGUGCCAGCAGCCGCGGUAAUACGUAGGGCGCAAGCGUUAUCCGGAAUUAUUGGGCGUAAAGAGCUCGUAGGCGGUUUGUCGCGUCUGCCGUGAAAGUCCGGGGCUCAACCCCAGAUCUGCGGUGGGUACGGGCAGACUAGAGUGAUGUAGGGGAGACUGGAAUUCCUGGUGUAGCGGUGAAAUGCGCAGAUAUCAGGAGGAACACCGAUGGCGAAGGCAGGUCUCUGGGCAUUAACUGACGCUGAGGAGCGAAAGCAUGGGGAGCGAACAGGAUUAGAUACCCUGGUAGUCCAUGCCGUAAACGUUGGGCACUAGGUGUGGGGGACAUUCCACGUUUUCCGCGCCGUAGCUAACGCAUUAAGUGCCCCGCCUGGGGAGUACGGCCGCAAGGCUAAAACUCAAAGGAAUUGACGGGGGCCCGCACAAGCGGCGGAGCAUGCGGAUUAAUUCGAUGCAACGCGAAGAACCUUACCAAGGCUUGACAUGAACCGGAAAGGCCUGGAAACAGGUCCCCCGCUUGCGGUCGGUUUACAGGUGGUGCAUGGUUGUCGUCAGCUCGUGUCGUGAGAUGUUGGGUUAAGUCCCGCAACGAGCGCAACCCUCGUUCUAUGUUGCCAGCACGUGAUGGUGGGGACUCAUAGGAGACUGCCGGGGUCAACUCGGAGGAAGGUGAGGACGACGUCAAAUCAUCAUGCCCCUUAUGUCUUGGGCUUCACGCAUGCUACAAUGGCCGGUACAAUGGGUUGCGAUACUGUGAGGUGGAGCUAAUC
rnacentral:rRNA from 1 species